AGAGUUUGAUCCUGGCUCAGGAUGAACGCUGGCGGCGUGCCUAAUACAUGCAAGUCGAACGAAACUUCUUUAUCACCGAGUGCUUGCACUCACCGAUAAAGAGUUGAGUGGCGAACGGGUGAGUAACACGUGGGCAACCUGCCCAAAAGAGGGGGAUAACACUUGGAAACAGGUGCUAAUACCGCAUAACCAUAGUUACCGCAUGGUAACUAUGUAAAAGGUGGCUAUGCUACCGCUUUUGGAUGGGCCCGCGGCGCAUUAGCUAGUUGGUGAGGUAAAGGCUUACCAAGGCAAUGAUGCGUAGCCGAACUGAGAGGUUGAUCGGCCACAUUGGGACUGAGACACGGCCCAAACUCCUACGGGAGGCUGCAGUAGGGAAUCUUCGGCAAUGGACGCAAGUCUGAUGGAGCAACGCCGCGUGAGUGAAGAAGGCUUUCGGGUCGUAAAACUCUGUUGUUGGAGAAGAACGUGCGUAAGAGUAACUGUUUACGCAGUGACGGUAUCCAACCAGAAAGUCACGGCUAACUACGUGCCAGCAGCCGCGGUAAUACGUAGGUGGCAAGCGUUAUCCGGAUUUAUUGGGCGUAAAGCGAGCGCAGGCGGUUUUUUAAGUCUGAUGUGAAAGCCCUCGGCUUAACCGAGGAAGUGUCAUCGGAAACUGGGAAACUUGAGUGCAGAAGAGGACAGUGGAACUCCAUGUGUAGCGGUGAAAUGCGUAGAUAUUAGGAAGAACACCAGUGGCGAAGGCGGCUCUCUGGUCUGUAACUGACGCUGAGGCUCGAAAGCGUGGGGAGCGAACAGGAUUAGAUACCCUGGUAGUCCAUGCCGUAAACGAUGAAUGCUAGGUGUUGGAGGGUUUCCGCCCUUCAGUGCCGCAGCUAACGCAUUAAGCAUUCCGCCUGGGGAGUACGACCGCAAGGUUGAAACUCAAAGGAAUUGACGGGGGCCCGCACAAGCGGUGGAGCAUGUGGUUUAAUUCGAAGCAACGCGAAGAACCUUACCAGGUCUUGACAUCCCGAUGCCAUUUCUAGAGAUAGAAAGUUACUUCGGUACAUCGGUGACAGGUGGUGCAUGGUUGUCGUCAGCUCGUGCCGUGAGAUGUUGGGUUAAGUCCCGCAACGGGCGCAACCCCUAUUGUUAGUUGCCAUCAUUAAGUUGGGCACUCUAGCGAGACUGCCGGUAAUAAACCGGAGGAAGGUGGGGAUGACGUCAAAUCAUCAUGCCCCUUAUGACCUGGGCUACACACGGGCUACAAUGGUUGGUACAACGAGUCGCGAGUCGGUGACGGCAAGCAAAUCUCUUAAAGCCAAUCUCAGUUCGGAUUGUAGGCUGCAACUCGCCUACAUGAAGUCGGAAUCGCUAGUAAUCGCGGAUCAGCACGCCGCGGUGAAUACGUUCCCGGGCCUUGUACUCACCGCCCGUCA
rnacentral:rRNA from 1 species